rnacentral:rRNA from 1 species
CAAGGAAUUUUGCGCAAUGGGCGAAAGCCUGACGCAGCGACGCCGCGUGGGGGAUGACGGCCUUCGGGUUGUAAACCCCUUUUCACGAGGAAGAAAUAUGACGGUACUCGUGGAAUAAGUCUUGGCUAACUACGUGCCAGCAGCCGCGGUAAUACGUAGAAGGCGAACGUUAUCCGGAUUUACUGGGCGUAAAGCGGGUGUAGACGGUUCUUUAAGUCAGUUGUGAAAUCUCCCGACUUAAUCGGGAGACUGCAAUUGAUACUGGAGAGCCUGAGGGCAUCAGAAGAAAGCGGAAUUCACGGUGUAGCGGUGAAAUGCGUAGAUAUCGUGAGGAACACCAGUGGCGAAGGCGGCUUUCUAGGAUGCUCCUGACGUUGAGGCCCGAAAGUGUGGGGAGCGAAACG